AACAGAGUCUCUCCCUGGAUGUGCAGAAUGGAGGGAGACUGCAGUAACCCUGACAGGAGUGAAAGGCAGCCAUACAACCAGCCUAGCCCAGCUUACUGAGAUGAGGAACCCAUUCUCAUAGUUUAGGGAACUGCAAGACAAGCCAUUCCCUUCAGACGAGUCUGAUGAAUUCCAGCAGUCCUGAAGCUAACAAGCGCAGGUAUUGGGAUAUUACCCUGCAACACAGGCAGAUCACCCUGCUUAUCAUUCCAUCAUUCACAUACAUUUCUUCUGAGUAACUCCACUGAUUUCCUGACACGACCAAUGUCAACUGCAUGUGUGGACCACAUCCAGCAGCAGUGAUCCUGAUAUUUGAGCCUGAGUUUUCUUAAAGCAGAAAAGAGAAUAAAAAUUGAUUACUGCAACCUUG